CCAACUGCUGGAACCAAGGAGAGCAAUCUUCUGUCCACUGUCCCAGAGAUGUGCUGCAGGGGAGGGCUCGGUGGAGCUGAAAUAAUGCACACCACGAGGAGCUGCAGCGAGAGAACCGGGGGCAAAAACAUCCCACCUUCCCUGGGGGCUUGGGAUGCAAUUUCUGGCUCUCGUGUCUCGGAAAGAAAUCCCUGCUGUGUGAAACCAGGAGGGGUCAUCCCUUUUCUUCCAGGCCAGCAGCUCCCAGGGCCUGAAUCAUCUCCUGGGCAGGGCAAGUUCCCUUGGACUGCUGUUUAUCCCUUUGGGAUUUCAUCUUCUGGGCACUAGAGCAGGGUAGAACUCUGUUAAUUUCCCUUAAUUGGCUCGUUAAAUUGAGAGUGGAUCCCAGGUCUGUGCAGGUCUUGGUGUCUCCAUCCUUUAAUUAUAUUUACUUACCCCACGUGAAUCCAUAAAGAUGAUCCCAGUGUCUUUCCAAGCCUGGAUUUUGGAGUCUGCCAAGGCCAGCUGCAAUCUUUGGGUCUUUAUUAUUCCACAGCCACAUCUGGGUGGACAGAACAGACUCUCUGUACAUGUUUCACUUCGUGUUUUACAAGGUGCAGCCAAUUAUUCACUGCAGGAACCACCGGCACUCGCUGCAGAGGAGAAAAUGAAAUAUAGGCCUUGCAACCCACCUGGCACUGCUCAUUCCCUGUGCCUUGGACACGUUUUUAUUGGGAAUAGACAGCUCUAACCACACUGUUUGGGUGUUUUAAACCACGAGUUAGGAUUAAUGUCUAUAAUAAAGAAAUAAAUAGGAAUACCUUGAUGCAGGGACACCUUCCACAGUCUCACUCCAAGCUUUAUCCAAUUUCUCCUGAAUAUUUUCAGGGAUGGGACAGCCACAGCUUCUCCCUGCUCCCAGGGAAGAGAGCAGGUUGGACAAUGAAGAGAAGGAACAGCAGAUCCUACAAAAUAAUUAAUAAUGCAAGGAACUCUAUCAGCUGCUCCUGCUGAUGCCUUUGGAUGGGAGCAUGGAAUUUAAUGGGAAGGGAAUAUGAAGGAGCUGCAAGAGUCAUCCCACACAAGGUGCAAUUAACACCUGGGAGCUUUGCACUGCUGAAUAACUUUAAAACCAAGCGCUCAGAAGGAUAAAAAGGGGAUUAUACGAUAUUCAUGGUGAUAAUGAAAAGAUCAGGAUUUAUUAGUGAAAAUCACAAUGCAGAGGAGAAAUCAUCCUGGUUUUGGGAUUUACACUGCCAGGAUCACCAAAGAGCUGACAGCAGCAGGUAAACACUCCCAGCUCUCCCAGAGCAGAGGUAGGGCAGAAACUGAACCAGUUCCUCAAGACUCAGCAAUUACUAAUUAGGAGAUGAAGUCAAUAAUUGCUGCAGUGUGAAGGUUUGGACGCAGAUAAACGUGUAAAGGUGCCAAGAAUAAACUAAUUGAAACAGAAUUACAUCAAACAUUUGCCUCAUGUUGAGGGGGCUCAGUGUUUGUUUUGUGAGCCCUGGCUGAGGGGAUGUUUAAUAUCUGAGCAACUGCUUGCAGGGAAACACUGGGACCAAUAAAGAAUCUGGGCCUCCAAGUGCCUCAGCACUUCAAAAUGUCAUUAAAAGUCACUCCACAAGGCAAGCACU